rnacentral:rRNA from 1 species
GAUGAACGCUGGCGGCGUGCCUAAUACAUGCAAGUCGAACGAGUUUUGGUCGAUGAACGGUGCUUGCACUGAGAUUCGACUUAAAACGAGUGGCGGACGGGUGAGUAACACGUGGGUAACCUGCCCUUAAGUGGGGGAUAACAUUUGGAAACAGAUGCUAAUACCGCAUAAAUCCAAGAACCGCAUGGUUCUUGGCUGAAAGAUGGCGCAAGCUAUCGCUUUUGGAUGGACCCGCGGCGUAUUAGCUAGUUGGUGAGGUAACGGCUCACCAAGGCGAUGAUACGUAGCCGAACUGAGAGGUUGAUCGGCCACAUUGGGACUGAGACACGGCCCAAACUCCCACGGGAGCAGCAGUAGGAAUCUUCCACAAUGACGCAAGUCUGAUGGAGCAACGCCGCGUGAGUGAAGAAGGCUUUCGGGUCGUAAAACUCUGCUGUUGGAG